UGUUACCCUUCCCUGGUAAACAGGUAUCAGCUGAUUGUGUUAGCUCAUCUCGAUGUAAUCACAUGUGUUUUGGACAAGAUAGCCCCCUUCCACUACAGUCAGGCUAUAUCAAAGAGACUUUUAACAUGUUGGGCAUGUGUGUUUGAAGAAAGAUCAUUCCUUUACAUAAGCAAACAUUCACACAAAGAGCAUACUAUCAGAGUAAAUCAUUGUGGGCUGAUAACUCCCACACCAUAUUGCUGAUGGAAUGUAAGGAAAGCAGUGGACCAGUUGCCAAGGGUGUCAGUAUUCUUAUUCUUCCUUGCCAUUUGAUCUAUUAAAAAAUCAUCCCCUUUGACAUAAAAGAAUAGAAUUACAGUAUAGUGAAUGUCAUUUUAUGUUCUG